UACGUAGGGUGCGAGCGUUAAUCGGAAUUACUGGGCGUAAAGUGUGCGCAGGCGGUUGAGCAAGUCGAGUGUGAAAGCCCCGGGCUUAACUUGGGAAUUGCGCUCGAAACUACUUGACUGGAGUGUGGCAGAGGAAGGUAGAAUUCCACGUGUAGCGGUGAAAUGCGUAGAGAUGUGGAGGAACACCAAUGGCGAAGGCAGCCUUCUGGGCCAACACUGACGCUCAUGCACGAAAGCGUGGGGAGCAAACAGG
rnacentral:rRNA from 1 species